UAGGGAAUCUUCGGCAAUGGACGAAAGUCUGACCGAGCAACGCCGCGUGAGUGAAGAAGGUUUUCGGAUCGUAAAACUCUGUUGUUAGAGAAGAACAAGGACGUUAGUAACUGAACGUCCCCUGACGGUAUCUAACCAGAAAGCCACGGCUAACUACGUGCCAGCAGCCGCGGUAAUACGUAGGUGGCAAGCGUUGUCCGGAUUUAUUGGGCGUAAAGCGAGCGCAGGCGGUUUCUUAAGUCUGAUGUGAAAGCCCCCGGCUCAACCGGGGAGGGUCAUUGAAAACUGGGGGACUUGGGUGCAGAAGAGGAGAGUGGAAUUCCAUGGGUGGCGGUGAAAUGCGUAGAUAUAUGGAGGAACACCAGUGGCGACGGCGGCUCUCUGGUCUGUUACUGACGCUGAGGCUCGAAAGCGUGGGGAGCAAACAGG
rnacentral:rRNA from 1 species